rnacentral:rRNA from 1 species
GACGAACGCUGGCGGCGUGCUUAACACAUGCAAGUCGAACGGAAAGGCCCUGCUUUUGUGGGGUGCUCGAGUGGCGAACGGGUGAGUAACACGUGAGUAACCUGCCCUUGACUUUGGGAUAACUUCAGGAAACUGGGGCUAAUACCGGAUAGGAGCUCCUGCUGCAUGGUGGGGGUUGGAAAGUUUCGGCGGUUGGGGAUGGACUCGCGGCUUAUCAGCUUGUUGGUGGGGUAGUGGCUUACCAAGGCUUUGACGGGUAGCCGGCCUGAGAGGGUGACCGGCCACAUUGGGACUGAGAUACGGCCCAGAAUCCAACGGGAGGCAGCAGUGGGGAAUAUUGCACAAUGGGCGGAAGCCUGAUGCAGCAACGCCGCGUGCGGGAUGACGGCCUUCGGGUUGUAAACCGCUUUCGCCUGUGACGAAGCGUGAGUGACGGUAAUGGGUAAAGAAGCACCGGCUAACUACGUG